GACGAACGCUGGCGGCGUGCUUAACACAUGCAGGUCGAACGGAAAGGCCCUGCUUGCAGGGUACUCGAGUGGCGAACGGGUGAGUAACACGUGGGUGAUCUGCCCUGCACUUCGGGAUAAGCCUGGGAAACUGGGUCUAAUACCGGAUAGGAGCCAUUUUUAGUGUGAUGGUUGGAAAGUUUUUUCGGUGUAGGAUGAGCUCGCGGCCUAUCAGCUUGUUGGUGGGGUAAUGGCCUACCAAGGCGGCGACGGGUAGCCGGCCUGAGAGGGUGGACGGCCACAUUGGGACUGAGAUACGGCCCAGACUCCUACGGGAGGCAGCAGUGGGGAAUAUUGCACAAUGGGCGCAAGCCUGAUGCAGCGACGCCGCGGGGGGGAUGACGGCCUUCGGGUUGUAAACUCCUUUCGCUAGGGACGAAGCUUUUUGUGACGGUACCUAGAGAAGAAGCACCGGCUAACUACGUG
rnacentral:rRNA from 1 species